rnacentral:lncRNA from 1 species
UGCUGCUGCAUGUCCACCAGCCUGCAGAUAGAAUCAUGAGCGGUAUGUAAUUUCUACUUGCCCUUUUCUUUUGUUAUUCAAUAACACUAAUAAGGAUGAUAACUAUACCACGUAGGCAAGUACGUAGCAAGCAACAUGGUUGUUUUUCCACUCUUCUGCUUUUCUCUGCAACUUCUCAAAAGCACACCUUCAUCUGUUCAAGAGUGAAAACAGAAUAACACACAUUUGAUCUUGUUAGAUUUUUUUUCAUACCCUUUGCUUCUCAAAAGACUGCCCGGUAACAAUGAUACAUAUCAACCUAAAAAUAAUCAAAGUAGUGUUCUGUCAAUUAGAUUUUUAUGCAUUAAUCGAACUUGCUGCCAAAUAAUUAUACAAAGCUCUCCCCUGUUUUCUUAGGCAUCAGAUAUACCUGUUUACUUCCCGCAGAAAAAAGGAAAUAAUUUGUUUGGUGUUACAUGUUGCGCUGCCAAAAGAGAAAACAAAAACUAAAUCUGCUCCUCAUGAUUUCCUGCGAUGUUGCCAUACAUGCAGGGUUGUGUAAGGUUCCUGCAAAACAGCUAGAAGAAAAGGAGCUCAAGGCAUACAGAACGAUUGAGAAGGAUGAUAUGAACAAACUUUUAGACCAGUACCUGAGUUACUGCAAAGUAUUUCCAAAGGUCAGAUAAGUACUCACUCAGGUUUUAGGAAUGGGAAUUUUAUUUUUCAACAAACUGAACUAUAGUCAGCUUGGGAUCAAUUUCUGGAAAGAAAACAAUCGCUAUUUUAACCACAUUUUGUAUCAGGCCUAGACCAGUUAAGAUUUAUGGCUGUUCUGAUGAAGUGGAUUGAAUAAGAACAUCAAAAUACAGAAUUGAAUACAAUAUUUUAUAUCCUUUAUGCAAAUCAGAAGAUGUUCCCAUUCUUUGUCAUCUCAGCAUAAUCACCAAAUUUGCAGGUGCAAGCUGAAACAUUGGUGAUAGAGAAGAACAAUGUUGCAAACGGCAUUGUUGAGUUUAUUGAUAAACAUCAUAUUACAAAGCUUGUUAUGGGAACAUCUUCCUUCUCAGUGUAGGUCAACAUGCCCUUAUUCCAUUGCAGUGAAGCUUUUUUUUGGCGGGGUCAUUGCAGUGAAGCUUCAUCUGUUCAUUAUGAAUCACUGCUACUGAGCUGUCUCUAGACUGAGCAUGCUGUAGUCUUUAGAUGUGAUUAAAUAUCUGUCAUGUUUGUCUCAGUCAUUCUCACAAGUAUUGAUGGAAAAGGCAUCAAGAACAACAAGCAAAUACUUCCUUUGGAACAAUGCAUUUUUCCCUUCCUUAAACAACACAGCAAUAUACUUUUGUUGCAUAUUUCUUACUUAGCAAAUGGCAAGCAUAAUAUAACAUUACUCUCAACAGGCUAUGUUUUAAUAGCUAUCAUCUCCUUAUCUAUAGACCAGAUCCUCCUAUUAGAGUAUAAUCCAAAGUUUUCCAUGUGAUCAUGGAUCUUUCACGAACAGGAAGAGGCAAGUACCAAAAUCAAAAGUUGCAGGAACUGUACAUCAACUGGCCAAACCAUAUUGCCAGAUCUUAUAUAUUUGCAAAGAAUCUCUUGCUUGCACUAGGUAUGAAUGCUUAUGCAGUCCUCCAUCCAGUACAUAGAAUUACCAUUUUAACCAAAGGAAGAACUCAAAAAAAUUCUGACCUGAUAAAGCGAUGUUGUUGUGAUUGUUU